rnacentral:rRNA from 3 species
GGUCAAGCGACCAAGGGCUUACGGUGGAUACCUAGGCACACAGAG